AAAUUACAAGAAAAUCGUAAAAACAGAUCGAUGAAGGGAAAGACAGUGAAAAGAAGAGUACAUCCAAGUUAUGAAUUCUUCAGCUCUAUUGAUCCCAAAUCUAACAAGCCAAUCAACUGUUGCAUUUCCAUGUCUUUGACUCCUCAUAGAUCCAUGCAAAAUAAUAUUUGAUUUAUCAAAGAGAGUGAAACGCGGUAAUCGUCUUCACCUGAUAACUAAAACGUUUUAGUUUUAUUAUUUGUUUAGAGACUAUUUUCUUUUUUUUGAGCCAAGCGUGGCAUUGACUUCUAUUUAAAAAAAAGUGAUAUAUACUAAUUAUUUUGAUGAUUUGAUUUAUGAAGUUUGUGGACCAAGAUACGGGAAAGGGUAGAAAGGGAAGACACUCACCACAGAGGCAAACGGGCCUUACAAAAGGCGAGCAUGCACGCUCAUGCAUCUUUUUAGUUUUACCACUCAUAAAAGGCCCCAACUUUUUUUGAAAAUUACCAAGCGUCCAUCAUCAAUCCAAAUUCUUGUACAAACUCCCGACUCGACUCUUUCUCCCUUUCUCUUAUACAUUUAAGCUCGGGUCUCUGAUCAAUCCGUUGUCAGCUACAAACUAAUGCACAUGUCCCUUGUGUCGUCUCUGUUUGUGUCUCUCGAGGGUUUCUUAGAGGGAGCGUCUCUGCAGAGACAUUUUGGAAUUCUGUCCACCUCCCCCGUCCAUAUCAGCCCCGAUCGAGAAAGUUUGGAAGGAGGUGGACAGCAUGCCAAACUCGCUCUGCAAAUUCCCACUAAGAAACCCUUCUGAAGAGUGCAAUGGUGUUCCCUUGCAGCAUUCUUUGUUCGUGCAAACCGUCACUCGAACGGGAUGAACUCACGAGGUAAUUAUUAAUUUAGUUACUAUGCAUGUGCGCUCAGCUCAGCAAGCUUGGAAACCCGUACUUUGCAGCUCGAUUUAGAGGAUCCUCUCGCAGCCUCGCUCAUGGGUAAGCUACCUGCGCAAUAUAUAUCAUCAACCGCAGGUAGGUAGUUUUCUCCAUAUUGAUUGAUUGCCUCUCUAGAGUAUACUCCAUCAAUAUCACCUCUGUGUUUACAGUGUACGUACUGCAGCUAUUUAUCAUACUUUUCUGUGUAUAAUGAAGUUUCUGUUUUUUGGUUUUGUGUUUUAAUUACUUAACUGAAUGAGGAGGUCAUAGAGCUUGCGUAAAAUAAUUUUACGAAAAUGUGAUAUACUUAAAAUUUAUGUUUUAUAUAUAUAUAUAUAUGUUUUAAUUUUGUUGAAUAUAUACGCAUAUGUAUCUGAUCAAUAGGGAUUUAUGGAAGUAGGUUUAAGGAUUGCACUAACAAGCGCAAAUUGAAAUUUGAGAAUCUUCUAAUCAUGCAAAAUUCUCGUACACCAUACCUUCAUUCGUUGAUAAACCAUUUAGCAUAGCAGUCCAACACCAUAUUUCCACAUAAUUAAAUAUUAAGCUUUUCUUACUCCGUUUUGCCUCACUGUAAUCUUUUAUUGUUGGUUGAUUUUAGCUCUUUCUCCGUCUUGUUGACCGGGGGAAAUAUUAAUCUGUAAUAGAGAAGAUAAAGAAGGAGAUUUUUGAAAUUUGAAGUAAUAUUAAUAAUAGAGUAGUAGAUUUUUUUAGAUUUUAAUUCGAUGGUCCUAAUACUAACAUAGUUAAUAGUAGCCCAUAUCGGUCUCAGCCCAACCCAGCCCAGCCCAUUUUAAGGGGAAUCAAUAAAUUAAACGGCGGCGGGCACAUCCUUGUCCUUACUUAUAUUAAUAAUAUAUAUAUAUAUAUAUAUAUAUAUGUAAUAAAAUAAAUCUCAAUUUCGACUAGUGUUGAUCGACAACGAUUCGAAGGAGAGAAUUAUCGGAAGGCGAACCGUGGCAUGCAGUUGUGCUCGCUCCUCUCGUCAUGUCGUUCUCUGAAAAUGGAGAGGAACCUGCUAUGUUUGUGAAUGGUAUGCCAAGUUCACCGCCACCGCCACCGCCCGAGGUUGUGAACAUUGCGAGGUCCUCAAGGUGUCUUAUGAAGCCCGAAGAGAAGCAGGCCUAUUUGGUUAAGGUGGAGGAAAGCCAGGGCUUCGAUGCUGAUUCCUACGCCUUAUGUAUUGGAUGACAUAAUUCAACCGGUUCCACUGGAUGACCUCGUGACUUACCGUGCCGACUACGAUGAUUUUAUUCAUCUUGCUGUCGCUAAAUGCAAUGCCGACCAGCCCACGAUGAUAUACUUUCCCAUUAUUCAGAAGGCGAAACCGUGGGAGUUGUGCUCCUCUCGUCGUUCACUACAUCACAUUUGGUGCCUUGGAUUAUGUUAUGCUGACCGUACUUUUAAAGUAUACGAGGCAGUUGUGUAUCAGAUGCCUCCAUCCACCAAUCUUCUGUUUUGCCACUUCUGCAGGGUCAGAGGGUCAAGGAUAAUUCCUCCGAUGCCAUCUGGUUGCCCCUUUGGACUGAUUCAUGGUAUUCCAUCGUCCCUGCCACCGCCUGAGGCUGUGGAAUCAUGGUUUCGUGCUUUAUUCUCAGGGGAAGACUGUCAGGGGAAGGAGGAUACGAUAAGCCUAACCCAAACUUCAUUGGAAUGUCUGUAAGUCGUGAAUGGUCCGCCUUAUCCAAAGAUCCCGAAGAACCGUUCCUGGCUCCGUUCUAUGACUUCCCAAGAGAUGGAGUUCUACUUGGGGAAGGUGAAGGAGAGCCAGGGCUUCGAUGUUCCUUCCUUCCCGUAUGCCAUGAACAAGUUACUUAAAGUGGUUUCCCCCAAAGUCUUUGCGCGUCACCGUGCCGAGUACGACUGUUUUCUUCAGCUCACUGUUGCUAAAUACAAUGCCAACCAGCCCGAGGGGAUAUGGUAUCCCCGAAUCUUGAAGGCAAACAGGAUGAUGUCUGGUGCUUCAGAGGUACACUAUAUCACGUUUGAGGCCUUGGAUAGUGCCACCGGCAUUUGAAGCUGUUGUGCAUCAGAUGAUUCCGAUCCAUAAUUUGUAUUGCCACUUCUGCAUGGUCUGAGCGAGCAACGCAUUGUUCUUUCUCCAAUUUUUCUGUAGGGUCGAGGAUAAUUCCUUUGGAAGCCGCCUCCGACCUCCCUCACCUUUUUUGUAUUUUCUGAAUGAUGAUCCAUGGGUAAAAGGAGGGGGGAGUUGCUGGUUAGCUUUCUCGUUCAGUGAGAAUGAAGGAAAUCGGAAGUUGUCAUUCUCGUGAAGAAACUUUACUUUUGACUCCUUUUGAGUAAAAUGUAGAUAUUACUACCUACUACUAUAUAUUUGCAUGUACGUUUUGCCUAAAUCAGUCACUCGUACGAAUUCUCCUCUCUUUUUGUGUGUUUUAUGAAGUUAUGUGAAUAUUAUACUUUUUAGUAU